rnacentral:lncRNA from 1 species
UUUAAUAAGCAUCACAUAUAAUCUCCAAAAGAAGUCAAAUUUCCGCACUUGAUAAGAGUCCAACAAUCCAUACCGUUCUUUUUCUUUUUCUUUUUUCUAGGAAGCCAACACCAUUCAGUUGGCCCAGCAUACUCUGAGGACAUAUAGGGGAAACAACAAAAAAGCUGAGUAUGUGUAAAAAACAAUUAAAUAAACCCCGACCUCUAUAAUUUUUCUUCCCGCUACAAAGCAAAACAGAGGAAGGAACCAUUGAACCAAUAUACUGAAUUAGAUAUUCAAAAAAAAAAAAAUCUUUUGGUUGAUCGAGCAUAUAAUAACAAAAAUAAAUAACCCAUUACCCAUGUUACCCAUGACCCAAGUAACCCAACUAACCCAAGUUACCCAACAAAGAGAACAGAACACUAAACCGCCUUGCUGGUCUGCUGGAUGCCUGCCUGGAUCAUAGAUUCGUACUUCGUAAACAGAGCAGCAGGCAGGGGCAGGCAGCAGCUGUGAAGCUAUGAUGGGCAUUGGGCAGCUGGAGAGUAGAGGCAAAUGGCGACCCCAGACUGGAAAGGAGACCUUCCUUUGGGCCGAGGUCUUAGGCGACCGCCUCGGCCGCUUAAGGCUUAGGCCAGCAUUGUCUCGAUGUAGAAACAAGUGGAGAGAUGAAUCCGUCUUUUGCAGGGGAGAGACCACCCCCUAUCAGUUGCCGUACGUGACAAAAAUUCUUGUGAUAAGGGACAAUCUUGCUGGCCCCACAAGCUCCACUGGGCAGAUCUGGGUAGGACUGGGUUCACGGAAGAAUUUGUUUUUUCAACUUCAGCAUCCAGAGUUGUUACUCUCUCUUCUAAGAAGAUCAUAGCUACACGGCAAUCUUGCUGGCUACACAUGCAUCGGUGAGUGGGCGGACUUUUUGGGGAAAUUGCACCCUAUAUCAGAUGCACGAUGGCAAUAGUGCAUCAGAGGAACAAUCUGAGAUGAGAUAAGGAUGCAAAAAUCUAAAAGAAAUCUGAUUGGUAUGGUAGGCUAUGUCCCAU